rnacentral:lncRNA from 1 species
GUGUGUGUGUGUGUGUGUGUGUGUGCUGAGUAUAGGGUCUAGAUGCCGCUCUGAGCAGAAAUUGAAUGUGGCUUCUGUGUGUGCUGGGAAUUUUCUUGUGAUCUGCAGGGGCAAGGUGAGACUAUGUUGGGGGCCUGGCCUGACUUGGUCCUUACCGUCAGUGUGACCCACAGUUCUGUCACCAUGUGACACACUUGCCUGAGGCUACAUGGCUGUCAGCUGCAAAAGUAUAUGGAAGAGAAAAACACUCAUGAAUUCCAGACUUUCCCCACUGCUGAAUGCCCACACCUACAUGGUGACCGUGGGGCCACCAUGCCUGGCAUCUGCAGGGUGAACAGAGCCCUGGAUGAGCUCCCAAGCUGUCCACUAUUCUUCCACAGCCCUGGGCCAAGCUACACUGUCUUCAGGGUCAGACCCUGGCGGAGCUAGUAGGACCAUUCCCAUUCCCAUGAGAAUUGGAACCUCGAAGCAGCCUCCUUAGGGACACCAGUCAACGUUGUGAUGCUGCCUGGCCCCCAUUGGCACAGACAUGCUCAAUACCCAGUACCCAGUUAAGUGUUCAGAGGAGGCAGGUGCUGAGGGCUGUAUGAUUUGGACCCUGGAGGGUGCUGUGCCAAGGAAAAGAGGUUAAAAAGCCAGAGCUGAGCCAGGCAGUGGUGGCGCACGCCUUUAAUCCCAGCACUUGAGAGGCAGAGGCAGGCAGAUUUCUGAGUUCAAGGCCAGCCUGGUCUACAGAGUGAGUUCCAGAACAGCCAGGGCUACACAGAGAAACCCUGUCUCGAAAAAACCAAACCAAACCAAACAAACAAACAAAAAAAAGCCAGAGCUGAGGGCUUGGAUUAAGGACCAGGUACCACCCUGGUGCUGUGGCAGUGCUGAAGUAGCUAUCUAUGUAUGUCCCAUGGACAGGGACACCUCUAGCCUGACACAUACUCUGGGAGGUGCCAGUGCAGAGGGUAUGGCUUGCAUUCCUAUUACCAUGUGGUGGGGACGGUAGCUGCUUCCAGGCAGGGGCACAAGUUGGGAGGUAGCUGGCCCCUGCGGCCUUUCUACCAUCCUACUCAGUAGAGGGACCCUGUUUCUGGAGCUUGCCACUAUCCAGCAUGUCUGUCCCAUCGACAAAACCAGGUCAAAAAAGAACAUGGGUGGAGGCCUGGUGGUGAAGUCUGUAGCUGCUCUUGUCCCAGAAACACCCUAUUGGGUCUUUUAGAUACACCGGUGUAGGUAGGGCUCCGUCCCAGGCUGCUCAACCCACUGCCAGGCUUGCUGCUCUUAACCUAGGGCUUAGCCCUACCUGGUUGCACAUCUAUACAGCUCCUGCUCAGCCCUUGCUGGAAAGAGGAGAUGGGAGACUCAGGAGAGUAUGGACCCUGGAGAGAGCAUGCCCUGUCCUCCUAUAAGGAGGACCUCAGAGACCUCAGCACUCUCCUGCUCAUCCAAGCUUCCAACCCUGCUGCCUCAGAGUCUUAUCUCCCUGUCGUCCCAUUCCAUGUCAUUCAUUCAUGUAUAUAGAUACCCUUCCCUUCCUUCCCAUGACCAACUCACAGGCUAAGUGUAUGAGGCUGGAGCCUCUGCUGGAGACUUGCAGAUGUGGAUGGUUGCAUUGAAACUGUCUUUCUCCCUGGAUCCCACCUGCUUCCACCAGCUUCACCUUCCUUCUCUCCUUGAAUGAGAUAUUCUCCUCCCCCAACUCUGCACAGACCCUCUAGAUCUCCAGGACUCUGGGUCAGUCCUCCCCUACUCUGCGCAUCUCCACCCCCACCCCACCCCGACUUGAGUGUUCCUCAGGCACAGUGGGCGGGGUUUUUUUUUGUUGUUUUUAUUUUUGCCACAUGGCUCAGUGUCCUGCCCCAUCCUCACCCCCAUCAGUAUAAACCUAUCAUCCCAGGUCCCACCCACUGGCUCCUUUGGGCACUUUCCCUCCCACUAGUUACAUGUGAUUGCCUAAGACACGGUUUAAAUUGAAAUCCUUGGGUGGGGUUAGAGGUUGAGGGGUGGUAAGUCACAGACUGAGAUGGAAUGUUCUGAGCCUGUGGCAGCUCUCAGGACUAGGACUAGGCUCCUAGGAUGGCUUCUAUGUUGCCUUUCUUGGAAGCUCAGCCCCGAACCUGAUUCUGUCCUCUCCCAGCCUCUCUGUGAGCCCUCAAUAAAACUUUUUGUGCAGG